rnacentral:lncRNA from 1 species
CCCGCGGAGAGCGGCUCGGAGGGGCGAGGACAGGGUGAACCCGCCCCAAAUGAACGCCGCGGGCCAGGCUCGGUUCCCGGCUAGCACGCGGAGCAGCGCGGUUCGCGCGGGGCGCCCUGUCUGUCCCUUCACCCCGCCGGACCCUCUGCGGGUGGAGCUGGACGCAAGCUGUCAAGCCCCGAGGAGGUGGUGGGUGGUGUAUUUCUGACCUCCAAGUCCUCGUUUCACAAGGGAGACCUAAAGGCUAGCAUGUGUCUGGGGACAGAAGAGCCCCGCUCUGCUGUAGAUGCACAACAAAUUAUGGACCCCACAGAAAGAGCCUUAUGACUCUUCAUAAUUUCCCCAUAACUCCUGCGCUGUGAUCCACUCUGUUCAUAGGCAGUUACCUUUUUCUGUUCAAUAACUUCAUUCUCCGGUUGCACAGACUUGGAGCCAAGCGGUCAUGUGCCCAAAGCCUUCUCUGUUCUACUAGAUCAACUGAUCUACCUGAAAAAGAAAACACCAUUCCUUACAAAAGCAAAAUCACAUCCAGUGCUGGGGUGCCUCAUCGUGAGAACAGAUAUACUGGAUCAAACCGGAGUGGUCUCUGUGAAUGCUUGCUUUUGUCUGGCCAAAUUCAAAGUCUGAUCUCCUGGGCGUGUGAUCUCUGGAUCCCAUGUGUUUCAUUCUUUACUUUCUUCAUUUACAAUGUAUUGAAGUACUCAGAUAAGUAAAU